AACCUGCCCAAUGAGUGAUUAAAUGGCCGCGGUAUAUUGACCGUGCAAAGGUAGCAUAAUCAUUAGUUUUUUAAUUGGAAGCUUGUAUGAAGGGUUAAAUGAGAAAGUUUCUGUCUCUUGAAAAGUUUAAUUGAAUUUUAUUUUUAAGUUAAAAAGCUUAAAUGAUUAUAGAAGACGAGAAGACCCUAUAGAGUUUUAUAUUUAUUAAUAUAAAUAGAUUAAGUUUAAAGAUUAUUAUUUAUUUUGAUAAUUAUUUUGUUGGGGUGAUUUAAAAACUAAAUUAACUUUUUUAUAUUUAAAACAUUUAUUUAUGAAUUUUUGAUCCUUAAGUUUAGAUUAGAAGAUUAAAUUACCUUAGGGAUAACAGCGUAAUUUUUUUAAGAGUUCUUAUCGAAAAAAAAGUUUGCGACCUCGAUGUUGGAUUAAAAUUAAUUAUUGGUGUAGAAGCUACAUGAUUAGGUCUGUUCGACCUUUAAAAUUUUACAUGAUCUGAGUUUAGACCGGUGUGAG
rnacentral:rRNA from 1 species